UUCUAGAUGCUUGGUGCAUCUUCACGUGGUGUCUGCUCUGUACCAGGCUCAGUGCUCAGCUUCAAGGGCAUAAAAAGGAACCUAAUCGCAUCCCUGCCCACAGUAGGAUAGACAGUUAAACAUGUAAGUACAGUUCAGCAUGACCAGGUCUAAGCACAUGUGCUCAUUUGUAAGCUGAGGCAGAGUGGAUUUGGAGCUAAGACAUCUGGGGUUAAGUCCGGGGUCCUCUCCUUCCCAGCUGAGUAACAUCCAUUUCUGUGUCUGCAAAAUAGGGACAGUAUCCCCAGGGUCAAGGCUCUGGUGAGGCAGAAGUGAGAUGCUGGUGGAGAGCACAUGGUGGGCUGCUGUGUUUGUCCAGAUGUGCUGCAUUGGUGGGUCUGUUGCAAGAGCUGGCCCUCAGGGCUCCGGGAGUCUGGCCUUGAAAUUCUUUCUGCCUUGCGUUUCCAGAGCUGACAAAGUGGUUGGAGGGCAGGACGUUUCUGAACCAUCCACCUGGGGAUUUCCUCGGCAUCAGCUUGAGUGAACUCAUGACUGAGGGGAGCAGGGUGGGAGGCAGCUCUGUGUUGAGGAACAGCUGAUCGAGACAAAGGCCGGUCUCGGGGGUGCUGGGGCCCUGUACCAGUGGGGCCCUGUGCCAACAGUGCCCUGUGGAAGUUGUCGAGGGCGGUGGGGGGAGCUGGAAAACUUUACAGACCAGAGAUGCUGUAGUGCAGCACCAGGGUCAGGCAGCUGGGGCCAGGUAGGUUCAAGCUGGAACCCAACACCCAGAGAGCUGUCCUUAUCAGCAGACACCAGGGAAGUGACUGAAGAAUGUCAUCACAGCCAGUCUCGGACCUGCUGUGCUCCUGGCGCCACACUGGGAACUUGGGUGGGGAGGAACAUGAAGGAUCACAUGGUGACUGCCUUCAGAAGGCUUAGCAAAUCACCGUCAUUGUCUACCACACAUUGAGUAUUUGUGUAGCAGAUAGUGAGUGGAAUGCCUGCCAUUCUGUCAUUUAAUCCUUUCAACAAACCUGUGUUCUUAGCCCUGUUGAGGACCCUCGGAGCGGGUCCCAAGACUUACCCAAGGCUGGUAGGUACAGAGCUAGGUUCACACCUGGUCUGGGUCUUGCGGUUGACCCGUUCAUCCUGCUCUUCCUCCACACACCCUCUAGGCCUGGCUCUGAUCCCAGGUGGGGGAAAGAACACACAGGUAAAGUAGGCAGGGCACCGCCCCAAGCUGCUUACACAUCAAGUAGGAAAACAGCAGGUAACUCACGGCAGAGAAUUUACUGAAGGAGGCCUGUGGGUAGCCUGUGGGGUGAGAGGCCAGGAGGGAGGGGUGGCCCGAGGGCCUGAGUGGACAGAACAGGCUUUGUUUUGCUGGGAGCAGGCCAGGGGCAGGCGGGAUGGAUGCAUGCAGUUCUGGCAGUCACAUGAGGCAUCAGGUCCCAGGUCCUGGGCCCUGCUCUGCCAUUCCUUGCUGUCACUGCCCCUCUCUGGGCCCCAGUUGCCCAUGAUCCCCAAGGGGCCUUCCAGCUCCCAAGCCCUGGAAUUCUCCAAGUUUGGAGAUGUAUUAGCAGAGGCUGAGAGUUGUUCAAAGUCCAUCAAGGGAAGGCUGUUCCCACUUUGGCUGUCAAGGAGGGUUCAAAUCCAGAUGAGGGGCUGGGGACAGGUGGGAGGGGAGAAGAAGGUGGUGACAACUUACAGGUGCCUCGUGCAUGGGAGAACUUGAUUUCUGUAGGUAAAAAGCAGAACCCAAGAGGUUUCUGAUAAGGAGAGUGAUG
rnacentral:lncRNA from 10 species